rnacentral:rRNA from 1 species
CAGCAGCCGCGGUAAUACGUAGGGUGCAAGCGUUAAUCGGAAUUACUGGGCGUAAAGCGUGCGCAGGCGGUUUGUUAAGACAGAUGUGAGAUCCCCGGGCUCAACCUGGGAACUGCAUUUGUGACUGGCAAGCUAGAGUGUGGCAGAGGGGGGUGGAAUUCCGCGUGUAGCAGUGAAAUGCGUAGAUAUGCGGAGGAACACCGAUGGCGAAGGCAGCCCCCUGGGCCAACACUGACGCUCAUGCACGAAAGCGUGGGGAGCAAACAGGAUUAGAUACCCCUGUAGUCCCUGUCUCUUAUAA